rnacentral:tRNA from 1 species
GCCAGUUUGGCUCAGUGGAUAGAGCAUCAGCCUGCAGACUGAAGGGUCCCAGGUUCGAUUCCGGUAAAAGGCA